GGCCCUCAUGAAGCUGAGCGAAGCAGAGGCUCUGAGGAGCUCCGUCAAAAAGGAAAGAAAUGCCAUCGACCGCUUUGAGGAGGCCAUCUUCUUCAGCCUCAAAGGAGAGGUCUGCAGUAACGUGGGAUGUGUGAAGCUGGCCAAGGAAAUGAGCAGGCAGGCGCUGAGACUGCUGGAAAAGCGGUUCCCCGGACUCGUGCCGGGGCCUUUGUCAAGUCUCUGUGGGAAGGGUUGAAGCGUGCUCCUCAGGCCACAGGCAGAGCGUCCUUCCUUCCCCAGGAGGCUCGGAGGAAGAAGCAAGCCUGGCUGGUUCAGCGGAGCAGAUGCCUCUCCUUGCUCGAGGACCUCUACAGCCAGGAGGGCACAUCUGGCGGACAGAGGUUCUCCCGCCUGGCAGCGCUCAUGAAGGCCAACACGGACAGCAAGAUGCACUCCUAUCAGGCAGCAGACUCACACAUUGGACAAGCCUUGAAUUAAGGAAAAUAGGCUUAGACAACGAGUGCAGACAGCGGUGUUCCUGUUUCUCCAAGUGACACCGUUCAGGUACCCUACGUCUGGAAUGCAGACAGCAGGCUAGGACAGUAAACCACAAAUUAACAAAGAAGCAACAAAUUGGUGGACGGAGUUGUAGCCGAUGAGAGGACCGGCCAAAGCCAGGUGAAAGAAUACAGUGAGGAAGACCAUGGCCUUCAUCAGAAAGACCACCAGACAACCAGCAAGAGAUACCACGCAUGCGUAAAAGAACUGAGACGUGGGGGCGGGGGGGAAGGGGGAAAUGUCAAUCUUGUGGAAGGGGGACUCAUCGUAAUAACCCAGCCUCUUCUU
ensembl:lncRNA